UCCCUGAUAGUCCAGUAGCUAAGACUCUGCACUCCUAAUGCAGGGGGCCCAAGUUUGAUUCCUGCUCAGGGAA
rnacentral:tRNA from 1 species